rnacentral:rRNA from 1 species
AGUGAACGCUGGCGGUAGGCCUAACACAUGCAAGUCGAACGGCAGCACAGUAAGAGCUUGCUCUUACGGGUGGCGAGUGGCGGACGGGUGAGGAAUACAUCGGAAUCUACUUUUUCGUGGGGGAUAACGUAGGGAAACUUACGCUAAUACCGCAUACGACCUACGGGUGAAAGCAGGGGAUCUUCGGACCUUGCGCGAUUGAAUGAGCCGAUGUCGGAUUAGCUAGUUGGCGGGGUAAAGGCCCACCAAGGCGACGAUCCGUAGCUGGUCUGAGAGGAUGAUCAGCCACACUGGAACUGAGACACGGUCCAGACUCCUACGGGAGGCAGCAGUGGGGAAUAUUGGACAAUGGGCGCAAGCCUGAUCCAGCCAGACCGCGUGGGUGAAGAAGGCCUUCGGGUUGUAAAGCCCUUUUGUUGGGAAAGAAAAGCAGCAGGUUAAUACCCCGCUGUUCUGACGGUACCCAAAGAAUAAACACCGGCAAACUUCGU